rnacentral:lncRNA from 1 species
CAUAAAAUUGGCCUCAAUGAUUUCUCAUCCUUUUUUUUACUUACAGCGAUCCAAAACCUUGGUAUCGCUGAACAUAGGUUUACACCCACACCGUGCGCAGUGCGCCGCUAAAUGCCCUGGAGACUGUAGCAUUUUAGUCGUAUAUCUCUGUUCUCUUAAUCUGAUGUUUAAACAUUGUUCUGCCUGCCGUGCCUGCCCUAUGUAUGGUUUUGCGCACGUGAGGGGAAUUUCGUAAGCCACAUCGUCUACACAAUCCAAAUACCUGUUAGAAUGCCUAAUUCCGCAACUGUUUCUUUAUCGGAAUUACCUUUUUUUCCAGAGCCCUUUUACUUUCAAAGAAGCUCAGCUGAGAACACAACUUUCGUACCACGCUUCUGAGCUAUCUUUUUUAGCCCAUGUAUUUCAUAGACACCCAUUACAUCAAACCACAUGUGUCUUCAUGAAUCCUAGAUUUGCACAGCUCACCGUCAUUUCUUUUUACCUCUUUUUUUAUAUGCCUCUCACCCUUUCAUGUGUGUGUAUAUACGACGUGCAUUGUUAGCAAUAAUCAGUUGCAAGUUUGCGCACAUAUGGGUCCAGUUUUCUUAUUUUGUCCUGGUGUUUCAGUACAGUGCAGCAAAAAGAACUAUGCCAUAUCAACUAGCCCCCGUCGAAUCCUUAUUGAGCAAGAUUUAUAACAGCGGAGCUGUUUAAGCUUGGGUGAUUCCGGCGCGAGACGCAAAAUCUAGAGCGGGUAUGCGCCACUGAAAGCGGGUCACAGGCAUGCAUAGUGUAGUAUAUUAUAACAAGGGAGUGGUGGUGAGGAGGAAGGAAAGGAGGAGGGCGGAGGAAGCGUGACA